rnacentral:rRNA from 1 species
GAUGAACGCUGGCGGUGUGCCUAAUACAUGCAAGUCGAGCGAGCAGACGAGGAGCUUGCUCCUUUGACGUUAGCGGCGGACGGGUGGGUAACACGUGGAUAACCUACCUCUAUUUCUGGGAGAACUACGGGGGACAGGUGACGAUACCAGCUCAUAUAUCCUACGGCAUGGUUCAAUAGUGAAAGACGGCUUUGCUGUCUCUUAUAGACGGUUCCGCGUCGGAUUAGCUAGUUGGUAAGGUAACGGCUUACCAAGGCAACGAUGCGUAGCUGACCUGAGAGGGUGAUCGGCCACACUGGAACUGAGACACGGUCCAGACUCCUACGGGAGGCAGCAGUAGGGAAUAUUGCGCAAUGGGCGAAAGCCUGACGCAGCCACGCCGCGUGAGUGAAGAAGGCCUUCGGGUCGUAAAACUCUUUUAUUAGGAAAGAAAAAAUGUGUAAUUAACUAUGGACGUCUUGACGGUACCUAAUCAGAAAGCAACGGCUAACUACGUG